rfam:Sphingobium sp. AP49 PMI04_contig46.46, whole genome shotgun sequence.
AGGAAAGGCCUUUCAGGCAUCCUCUCCUAAAACUUUCGGGCUGGCCUUCGGGUCGGCCCUUUUUUUGUUUCCGG